GGGGAAGGGCCAUAGCUAAGUGGUUAGAGCAUCUGCUUUGGGUGCAGAAGGUCCCAAGAUCAAUCCCUGGCUUCUCCA